rnacentral:tRNA from 1 species
AGCGCCAUAGUUUAAUGGUAGAACAAUGGUCUUCGAAAUCAUUGGUGUGGGUUCGAUUCCCACUGGCGCUGC